GAGACUCACUCAAAUUCAUCUGGACUCCCCGAGGAGGCAGACGGGCACAAAGGGCCACUGCUGGUACCAAGGCUCCAGUUCCUCGGAGAGUUCAGCUGGAGAGAAGUCUGCUCUGGGUCCUUUCAUGGUUUCCAAAACUUUUGACUGAAAUACAUGUGCAGCCUAAAAGUUAAGAGUUAUGAUUUAUUUGGCAGGAGGACUUGACCUGGGAUGACAGCCUCUCAGAUCUCUCUGAGGGACUGCUCAGAAGAGGUUCGGGAGGAAAUAGGAUAUAGAGGAGCUUUACAACAAAGACCGGGAAGUUGGAACAAUAAAAGAUUGCUUGUUAUCUAAAGAAAGCCAGACUGACUAUGGAUAAUCUGCAACCUUGGAAAGCAACCGAGAUGGAAUUACUGCAGAUCCCUCCCUUCUCUCUGCACCUCCUGUCCAUCUGUUUCACUCCACUUUCCCCUCCUCUCCUCCUUCUCCCAUCUUAUCCCUCCAUUGCUGCCCCAGCUUUUCUCGCAGAACCAAGAGGAUCCCUGGUCCUCCUGCGCAUGCGAAGUCGGUGCACGCUGGACCGCCGGGUUGGAAGCCCCAGCUCCAAGCCGGGGAUCGGCCCCAA